CGGCGGACGGGUGAGUAACGCGUGGGUAACCUGCCUCAUACAGGGGGAUAACAGUUGGAAACGGCUGCUGAUACCGCAUAAGCGCACAGUACCGCAUGGUACGGUGUGAAAAACUCCGGUGGUAUGAGAUGGACCCGCGUCUGAUUAGGUAGUUGGUGGGGUAACGGCCCACCAAGCCUUCGAUGGAUAGGGGUUCUGAGAGGAAGGUCCCCCACAUUGGAACUGAGACACGGUCCAA
rnacentral:rRNA from 1 species